GCCUUGCUAGCUCAGUUGGUAAGAGCAUAAGACUCGUAAUCUCAGGGUUGUGUGUUCAAGCCCCUUGUUGGGCA